GCAGCCAGUUUCAGACAUUUCACAGGACCAGGAAAAUGGCAGAGCUGGGGUUGGACACGAGGCCAGCCCUCUGCCCCCAGAUCUCAGCUAUCAGCCCCGACGAGUGACACGGGUACUGGGAGGUGCCACCAGGAAACAGCCAGCAGUGGGGUCCAGAGGGCAAUGACCACCCGCCUCAGAGGGGUAUAGGCAAGCCUGAAGCCUUGCCUCUACCCUCUGUGAUCUCUGUGACGUCCCAGCCCUUCUCUGUGAGGUCGAGGGGCCACACCUGCUAAGUCGCUAAGCCUCACAUUCACACACUGAGGCCCAGAAGCCUCAGGCCACACUCUUCCACUGCUGUCUAGGAUAUGAAGCGGGGUGUGAUGGGGUGUGUGUAGAGAUCAGUCUUGAUCCUUGCCGUCCUGGAGCCUGGAGCCUGGAGCCUGGUGGCAGAGAGAAAACGUGACUCUGUUUCAGUCACUCUGUGAUUGGUGCUCUGAAGGAAAGAAGUCAAACAGGAGCUUGUUGAGGUGACCGGGAUGGCUCAGAGGAUAAGAAGCCAGCCGUGUGCACAGUGGUGGGAAGACUCAGCUGGACAGCGUUCCUGGGGCAGGAGCCCAAUGGCCAGAGCGGCUGAUGCGCAGGGAGGGGGGAGGGACGGCGUGAUAAUCAGGGAGGGAGAGGCCCACCUGCAGCGCCACCCCCCUGGCCCCCUGGCUCGCCCAGUGCCUUCUCUGUUGGCCCUGCCACCCCCGAGAUUUAUCGGGUAUCCUUCUCUAGCUUGAGAGCACAAGAUCUGGGUCCGAGUCAUUUCCAGGUCCCCAACCAGGAACACGGGGUCCGGCCUUGAAUCAGACCACAAUUGACCAAUGAACAGAGUUGGGCUGCAUGGAGACACCUGCUCGUAGGAGACUGGUGGAGAAACAUCCCUGCCACGAGCAUCCAGCCUUCGAGAUGUGCGGGGAAGUGUGUAAUUGACAGGCAGCCCGACCGAGGCCCUCCUGCGGGACCAAAUUGUAAUCGGCUGCGGCGCUUGGUCACAACAGGGAUUCCUUUUACAUCCUAGUGCGGCCACGAACCUGGCAAGCAGGUCCCCGCGGUUAUUAAGAAGCCUCCUGACUUCAGCAGGUCGCCUUGGGUCAGUGCAGCGGCAUACAUUCUGGCUGCUAGGCUCAGAGUUGGCGAAGACAGCCUUGUAGACACAAAUCCCUUUACACUUGGACAUGGAGAAAAGAAUCAAGAUGGAUGGCCCCAGCCCCCCCAGCCUGCUGCACACCUGCCUGCCCCCGCUCCCACUGCCUCGCCUCCUCCCUCCUGGCUGGUUCCUUGACAAGUUCAUUGCUGUGUUCACCAGAAAGCGAUCAGCAGAGUCUUGCUUCUGGAGAAGUUAAAUGCAGGCCGACAAUUCCUCAGGGGUUCACGGGAUGAAAGGCUGCAAAAGAGGGUUUGGAAGCGCUUCACAGAGGGACCAACGUCUACACAUACGUCAAGAGAACUGUUGUUUGGGGAAAACAAGUUGUAUUGGAGGCUUUGGGAAUUGCAGAGAGGUUUCGCAAGAACUCAGAGGAGCAAAUAAGAAAUAAAAGACACAGCCAACGUUUAUUGAGUGCGUGCUAUGCGGUGGGCUUCGUGUUGAGCCUUUUCAAGUCACUUUUUCAUUGUAUUCUCCGCACCUUAGCGCACUGUCUCCUGUCGUUAACCCGCAGAGGUCAGGUGAUCCUCCUGAGGUCGCCGAAUGAGUAGCAGAGCCAAGACUCAAACUCAGGCCUGCCAGGACCCGGAAGGCCGUGACUUUCAUCUGUGUGCAUGUCCUAGGGGACGGGAGAGAGGAAAGGAGCACAAGCACACAAGUCCACAGGGCAGCAGCGAUAGCGACACAGGACGACAGAGCCGGGAGCUCCGGACUCCCAUCCAGACCCCGUCACCAGCAACCUGGGACCCUGCAAAUGCCUCUUUGCUGCUCUGGGCCUGUCUUCUCUCCGGUGAGAUGGCAGUUUCAAAGGAGAAGCCCCCUCGGGCCCAAGUUUGUAAUGCUCUCCUCUUCCUAGUCCACAGGUGAGAAGACUUCGGCUCGGGAACAGGGCCACUGGAAGUCGUGGCCAAUCUGGCCCAACCCGUCACAGGGACCUUGAAGCCCCUCUGCAACGUGUCCAGGGACUCCAGGCCCUGCUAGCAAGAUGGAAAUGGACGAGACCCAAGGCGGCUUGCGCAUACUUACCGAGUGAAAGUAGUAUCUUGAGCGUGACUUCCCUGAGUCUUUGCCACGGGCCCCCGCUAGCAGCGGCCCAAGCUCCUCUUCGGUGCUGAAUUUCCCUCACCGGGGCCGCCAGUGAGCCUUCCGACGGCCAGACACGUGACUCUCUCUGUCUGGGGGGACGUGGGGGGUGGAAUCCGGGAAGACUUGACUCAAUUUGAUGGAAAGCAACUUCCUUCUAGCAGUAGGAAGUUAGAGGAAGAGCAGAGCCGGGUAAAACAGACAGCAAGCAGUACAGGGGCCGGUAGGCCUGCUCUGAGCAUUGCUGAUACUUACCGGCUGUGUGUGGCUCCAGACAAAACCCCUUAUGUCCACACAUCUUGGUUUUCCUCUCUGGGUAAAGAGAUGCAGACAUUC